rnacentral:rRNA from 1 species
UACGAAGGGGGCUAGCGUUUGCUCGGAAUCACUGGGCGUAAAGCGCACGUAGGCGGCUUUUUUAAGUCAGGGGUGAAAUCCUGGAGCUCAACUCCAGAACUGCCUUUUGAUACUGAGAGGCUUUGAGUCCGGGAGAGGUGAGUGGAACUGCGAGUGUAGAGGUGAAAUUCGUAGAUAUUCGCAAGAACACCAGUGGCGAAGGCGGCUCACUGGCCCGGUACUGACGCUGAGGUGCGAAAAGCGUGGGGGAGCAAACAGG